GGGAGGGAGGGAGAGGGACGGAGGGAGGGGAGAGGGACGGAGGGAGGGAGGAGAGAGGGACGGAGCUCGGGAGGGAGGGGAGAGGGACGGAGCUCGGGAGGCAGGAGUGAGGGACGACGCUAGGGAGGGAGAAGAGAGGGACGGAGAGAGGGACGGAGCUCAGAAGGGAGGAGAGAGGGACAGAGAGAGGGAGGGAGGAGAGAGGGACGGAGAGAGGGAGGGAGGAGAGAGGGACAGAGGGAGGGAGGAGAGAGUGACGGAGCUAGGGACGGAGGAGAGUGACGGAGCUACGGAGGGAGGAGAGAGUGACGGAGCUAGGGACAGAGGAGAGAGUGACGGAGCUAGGGACGGAGGAGAGAGUGAUGGAGCUAGGGACGGAGGAGAGAGUGACGGAGCUACGGAGGGAGGAGAGAGUGACGGAGCUAGGGAGGGAGGAGAGAGGGACAGAGCUAAGGAGAGAGUGACGGCACUAGGGACAGAGGAGAGAGUGACGGAGCUAGGGACAGAGGAGAGUGACGGCGCUACGAAGGAAGGAGAGAGUGACGGCGCUAGGGAGGGAGGAGAGAGGGAAGCUAGGGGCAGAUACAAAAGCCCUAGAAGGCCAGAGGGAAGACCCCUGCCAGGCGCUAGCACUAACUACCUGGCUAAUCAAAAGAAGUGGUUUCAAGGUCAGAUCAAGGAUAGGGCUAACUGGGUACGGCUGGAAUAUCACUGAACAGAUGGACAUUGUAAAGACCACUUAGCUUAUCUAAACUAUGUACAAACUUCUCUUUAGACUUUGUUACAAAACUUGAACUGUAACUAAUCUCAGCCCAUAGCCUCAGAAUCCAUCACACUGCCCUCAGCAUGGAUAGGAGAUCGCUGGUAGUGAGAGACAAUGUACUGAAUGUAUGUAUCUAUGUAUGUAUCCGUGUACUCUGUAUGCGUGCAUGUAUGUAUCCGGGUACCCUGUAUGUAUCCGGGUACCCUGUAUGUAUCCGGGUACCCUGUAUGUAUCCGGGUACCCUGUAUGUAUCCGGGUACC
ensembl:lncRNA